rnacentral:rRNA from 1 species
UGGGCAACCUGCCCCUCUCUCUGGGAUAAACCCCCGGGGAAAACCGGAGCUAAUACCGGAUACUCCGGCUGGAUCGCAUGGUCCGGCCGGGAAAGGUCCGCCGGAGAGGGAUGGGCCCGNGGCCUAUCAGCUUGUUGGUGGGGUCAUGGCUCACCAAGGCGACGACGGGUAGCUGGUCUGAGAGGACGACCAGCCACACUGGAACUGAGAUACGGUCCAGACUCCGUACGGGAGCA